CCUACGGGGCGCAGCAGUAGGGAAUCUUCCACAAUGGACGAAAGUCUGAUGGAGCAACGCCGCGUGAGUGAAGAAGGGUUUCGGGUUGUAAACUUCUUUUAAGGGGGAAGAGCAGAAGACGGUACCCCUUGAAUAAGCCACGGCUAACUACGUGCCAGCAGCCGCGGUAAUACGUAGGUGGCAAGCGUUGUCCGGAUUUACUGGGUGUAAAGGGCGUGCAGCCGGAGAGACAAGUCAGAUGUGAAAUCCACGGUCUCAACCCGUGAACUGCAUUUGAAACUGUUUCCCUUGAGUGUCGGAGAGGG
rnacentral:rRNA from 1 species